rnacentral:rRNA from 1 species
GACGAACGCUGGCGGCGUGCUUAACACAUGCAAGUCGAACGGAAAGGCCCUGCUUUUGUGGGGUGCUCGAGUGGCGAACGGGUGAGUAACACGUGAGUAACCUGCCCUUGACUUUGGGAUAACUUCAGGAAACUGGGGCUAAUACCGGAUAGGAGCUCCUGCUGCAUGGUGGGGGUUGGAAAGUUUCGGCGGUUGGGGGUGGACUCGCGGCUUAUCAGCUUGUUGGUGGGGUAGUGGCUUACCAAGGCUUUGACGGGUAGCCGGCCUGAGAGGGUGACCGGCCACAUUGGGACUGAGAUACGGCCCAGACUCCUACGGGAGGCGGCAGUGGGGAAUAUUGCACAAUGGGCGGAAGCCUGAUGCAGCAACGCCGCGUGCGGGAUGACGGCCUUCGGGUUGUAAACCGCUUUCGCCUGUGACGAAGCGUGAGUGACGGUAAUGGGUAAAGAAGCACCGGCUAACUACGUG